rnacentral:lncRNA from 1 species
CAUAAUCAUGAAAAUAAUUCAGAGAAUAAACAAAUACCCAAAAAGUAAUAAAACAAUUAAAGCACAAGAAAGAUCUCACAGUAGUGAUGAAUCAAAGCUUCAUUAACCUUCAACCAGAAAAAUGGGUUUAGUUCCUCAUAGAGAGAAGAGAAAAAUUAGAUCUAGGGUUUCUUUUUCUCCAAUCCAAAAUCCCCCUUUUUCACAAUAGAUUCCUCCCUUAAAUACUUUUUCUCUCUUCUCUUUUAGAAUUCUAUUUAAAAUAAAAUCCUAAUAUCUGAAAUAUUAAAUUCGUAAUUACAAAAAUAACCAAAAAUACAAAACACGUUAAACUAAAAACUGCAGGUCCGCAGUUGACAGCACGCGCCCACGCCUUAUCAACAAAGUUCUUCUGACGCUCAUAAUUUCUCCAAGAGAACAAUCAUCCUUAAACAUCAUCUUAUAGCUCAAUUUUAUCAUCAAUCAAUAGAAUUGCACCUACAAAAGUAAAACACAAGUAAAUCACUAUUAUUAAGUGCAAAACAUUGAUAUUAAGGGAAGUAAAUAAUGCAAAACUAGUGCAUAAAUUGCACUCUAACAAAUUCCCCCACACCAAGAUGAUGCUUGUCCUCAAGCAUAUAACUCAAGACUAAUCUCAAAUCUCCACUAAAUUCUCAUCUCAACUCAUCCAAAAACAAUUUUAAGCAAGCAUACCUCAAGAAAUUAAGUCGAUCAACAUUCGAGAGACAAGGAUUUUUAAAGCAUAGAAUCUCAUAAGAUAGAAUAAGAACAUUCAACCACCAAGAAGAUCCAUUCAAAAUUCAAGUGCAACAAGAUUUAAUAACCCUCUCAAUGACUUCACUCCAUGCACUCAAAGUGUUUAGGGUAUCAUUUAUGCACUCAAAUCAAAUCAAAGAAUGCUAUUACCAUAAGCUUGCUCAUAUAUCACAUCUCAAUCCACAAAACAUGAAUAAAAUGCAAAAAUCUAAGGGUCUUAAAAGGGUUGUAAUGGGGUUAAAUAGGUUAAAUGAAAAAGAAAGGUCUAUGAAAGAAAAAGAGAUCAAAAUGAGAAGAAUGAACUCAUUGAAUGAACUUAUGAUAUCAAAAUGCUUAUUUCUACUCAAGUCACCACGAAUGUAAACAUUUUUUUUUCUUCUUUUUCUCUUUUUUUUUGAUUUUUUUUUUUCGAUUUUUCUUUUUCUAUUUUUUUUUCUCUUUUUCCUUUUUUUUUUUGAAUCAAACAAAAGAAAUGAACCUUGCACAAUUUAAUUCAAGCAUAAUGCUUGUUAAUCUAAUUGAGAAACUUUAAUACAAGGUAGAAAGAGCAACAAAAUAUAUACAAAAUAUAUCCACACAAUGAGUCCAAAAAUCUCCUUAAAUUGAGGCUCAAAAAGAAGAAAAAUGGUUAAGUAGACGGAGAGAAUUAGAUGGGUAAUGGUUAAGGCUCAAACAAAGAUAGUAAAUCAAGGUCUUCGGGUAGAGAAAAAAAAAGAAAAUGCAAGAAUAGAAAAAUGGUAAAUGGUUUGCCCUUAUCAUUUUAAUGCAAAAAAUCCCGUAAUGUGGCUUCAACAUGUAUAACAAAGCAAGUUCUAGAAUAAACAAACUAAGAUUGAUAUUCACAUAAUAAAAAUAAUUAGAGCAAAGUGGUUGCUCAUAGGCUCAAAUCCUCACAAAGUUGGUAAAUUUGCCAUCAAAUCAUGUACACUCUUCAAAUGAAUCAACCAUCAAUAGUGGUGUAGAAUGGGAAGAAGGUAUGAGUGAAGGAAAGGUAAAAAUGAUAAGAAGUGAGAAAGAUGUAUGUAGUAAUAUGAAAAGUGAAAGAUAAAAUGUGAGUGAUGAAAGAGUAUGAUAGAAUAAAAAUAGAUGUAAAUAAUUUGAGAUAGAUGGGAAAAAAGUAAUGAGAAAGAAAAGAAAAGAAAAAUAAUAAUAUAUGAAGCAUACUAACUCCAAAAUCAUUUAAGGAUGAGUAGAAUGAAAAUAGAUGAGUAGAGUGAAAAUAAUAAUUCCAGGCAUCAAUAAUGCAAAAAUCCCUCCCCCACACCAAUAACUUACAUUGUCCCCAAUGUAAGAUAAUCAAAGCUCACAUAAAAAUUAAAGCGUAAGGAUAAAAGAUUAAAGGCAAAAACUUCCCUGAAUUGUGAGCUUUGAUCCUCAUAACGUCUAUGGGCUUGGCGGGAAUGGUGGGAUAAAUCCCACACUCUUGAAGUAUGCGGCCAAAUUCUACUCCAUCUUCUCACGGAUUUCGAUUCACGCGGCUGGAAUGCAGGUCGUAGGCUGGUUGCGGACUAUUGCUGCUCGACUGGAGCUUACGGGUACACGGCUGGUGGUUCAGUUGCGCGCGGAUGGGACUGAUGCUGCGAACUGGUGACGCUGGAUCUGCGUGCUGCGGCUGUUGCUGCGCGCUGGGGGAUUGCUGGUGCGCGCGCUGGUGACGCUUGUUGCGUUGCGUGCUCGGCUGGAGCUUGCUGCGCGGCUUAGGGCUGGUUGCGCACUGCUGGUUGCGUGCAGGAUGCUGUCUGCGUGGCUGCGUUGCGCGCGAGAGCUGCUGCGUGGCUGUGUUGCUGCGGGACUGUUGCGCGCGAGAGCUGGUUCUGAGUUGCGUUGCGGGGCGUGCUCGUUGCUGGUGCUUGCGUUGCGCACGACUGAUGCUGCAUUCUCCAGCUGGCUGGUUUGCUGCUGGCGUGCUGCAAACGGCUGGAGAAGAAAACAAUUUCUGGAAAAUUAGGGAUUUUGUGAACAGUAAAUUUUUUUUUUAUUUUUUAUUUUUUUAACAAUGAUUUUUUUUUUGAUUUUUUUUAAAAAAAAAAAAAAUAUAUAUAUAUAUAUAUAAAAGAAAGAACAAAAGAAAUAAAUAAAUAAAAUUAAAUUAAAUAAAAUCAAUUAAAAUUAAAUAUUUUUUUUUUUUUUUUAGUGAUGAAUCACUUUGAGACACUAAAAAUUUCAGAAGUACUUUUCUAAUAAGCACGUGGGCUCGCCUUAAAACUGUUUUACUUUAAAAAUUACAGAAGUACUUAUUAGUUAAGACGUGGGCACGCCUUAUCAAAAAUUUUCUUCUGACCAAAAUAAGCAAACACAUUAUUUAAAAAAAUUUGAAUCAAAAUUAAAAGAAGAUAUAACAAAAACCAAAAUAAAUAAAUCACUUGGGUUGCCUCCCAAAAAGCGCCUUUGUUUUAUGUCUUUGGCUAGACACAUUUAUGCAUCAAUCUCCAUAAUUUGGACUUUCGAGAGCCACAUCCUCCACAAUAUUCACCGAAAAUCCUUCAUAAAAAGGUUUUAAGCGAUGACCAUUAACCUUAAGAACUCUGUCAGAGGUCGGGCUCCGAAUCUCAACUGCACCAUGAGGAAAAACAUUAGUAACAAUAAAAGGUCCAACCCAACAAGAACGUAAUUUACCCGGAAAAAGUUUAAGUUUAGAAUGAAAAAGAAGAACUUUUUGACCAACAGAGAACUCCUUUCUCAAAAUCAUUCUAUCAUGAAAUGUCUUCGUCUUUUCCUUGUAAAAAAUUUCCUGCGCUAUAGGGUUAAUAACAUCCACAGAAAAUACCGAAUGUUCCUCACUAGGAUAUUUCAUGGCAUCAUUCAUAUUGAAUUCUAUAACCUCUCCAUCAAACUCCAUAGUGAGAGUCCCUUUAUGUAUAUCCAUUUUAGUCCUAGCAGUCUUAAGAAAAGGUCUUCCUAGCAAAAUUGGGACAGAAUUAGAGGAGUUAUCAUCUUCCAUAUCAAGUACAUAAAAAUCAGCAGGAAAAACCAACUCAUUAACUUGUACUAAGACAUCUUCUAAUACCCCAUCAGGAUAUGCAUUAGACCUGUCAGCUAGUUGAAUUAUCACACCAGUUUCUUUUAAUGGACCAAUAUUCAAAGAUGAAUAAAUGGAACGAGGCAUGACAUUAAUAGAAGCUCCUAGAUCUAACAAAGCCUUUUCAACUCUAACACUACCAAUUUUACAAGGGAUAGUAAACAUACCUGGAUCCUUGCACUUAGGAGGUAGUUUCUUUUGGAGAACUGCUGAAACAUUCUCCCCCAUGUGAACUUUUUCAUCUCCUCUUAAUUUUCUCUUGGAGGUGCACAGUUCCUUAAGGACUUUAGCAUAUCGAGGUAUUUGUUUUAUAGCAUCUAAUAAAGGAAUAUUUACCUCAACCUUGCGAAAUGUCUCAAGGAUGUCUUUCUCUUGUUCCUCCUUCUUGGAUUUUGCAAAUCGGCUUGGAAAAGGAGGAGGUAUCACAAUAGGUAGGGAUUUCGUUUUGGUGGGUUGUGCAUCUUGAGAUUGAGGCAUUAAUUCAUUCUUCUCAAGCUCAUCUUCUACAUGCUUUGUCACUUUCUUACUAGGCUCUUGCAACUCCGUCCCACUUCUAAGGAUGACAGCACUAACGUUUUGCUUUGGAUUCACCUCAGAUUGUGAAGGCAAUCUCCCUAAUACUUGAGACUCCAGACGGCUCACUGUAGUCGCCAAUUGACUCAUUUGGUUCUCCAAGUUCUGAAUGCUUGCUGUAGUUGCCUGCUGAAAUUGUUGAGUGUUAGUCGCAAGUGAUUUAACAAUUUCUUCAAGAGAUAUACCUGACUUGGAGUUUGACUGUGGAGGUGCUGGUUGUCUUGGUGGAUACUGUUGUGGGAAUCCUGACGGUCUAACUCCAUAGCUGAAGUUGGGAUGAUCCUUCCAUCCCGGAUUGUAUGUUUGUGCAUAAGGAUCAUACCUCCUCUGAGGCAUGCCUGGAAAUCCUCCAACUGCAUUGGCUUGUUCAAUGGGUUCUUCUUGAAGUGUAGGACACAUAUCAGUUGAAUGACCCAUAUUGUAACAUAUACCACAAGUCUUCACCUGCUGCACAUUACCUACAACAAACUUUUCCACAAGAGAAGUAAGUUUAUCUAAACGUUGUUCAACAGAAGAAAUAUUUACCUCAUUCACCUUCCUUGAAGUGAGCUCUUGCCUGCUGCUAAAUUGUUGUGCAUUGGCAGCCAUAUUUGAUAUCAACUCCCUUGCUUGAGUAGGGGUCUUGUUCACCAACACGCCUCCACUAGCAGCAUCUAUCAUACUCCUAUCCAUCAAUGACAGUCCUUCGUAAAAAUAUUGAAUAAGAAGUUGAUCAGAAAUUUGAUGCUGAGGACAGCUGGCACACAAUUGUUUGAAUCGCUCCCAAUACUCAUAUAAAGUCUCCCCAGGAAGUUGUCUGAUCCCACAAAUAUCUUUUCUGAUGUUGGCAGCUCUUGAAGCAGGAAAGUACUUCUCAAGGAACUGCUUCUUCAAACCAUUCCACGUUGUAAUUGAUCCAGGAGGCAAGUAGUACAACCAAUCUUUAGCUAGCCCAUCUACAGAGAACGGAAAAGCACGCAGCUUAAUCUGCUCUUCAGUCACACCUUGUGGUCUCAUACUUGAACACACAACAUGAAACUCCUUAAGAUGUUUAUGAGGAUCUUCACCUGCAAAACCAUGAAACUUGGGUAAUAAAUGAAUAAGACCAGACUUUAAUUCAAAAUUUACCUCCAAGUCUACAUAUUGAAUGCAGAGUGGUUGUUGAUUCAAGUCUGGUUCAGCUAACUCUCUAAGAGUUCUUUCUACAGGUGCAGGUCUAUCCAUCACUUGUUCUUCUGAAUCGCUAGAUGAUUCAACUAAAUCAGGCACCGUAUCUGUUUCAGAAAGCAAAGGCGACGAGGAUCGUUGCUUAGCUCGCUUCGUCUGCUGUCUCAGCUGGCGAGCUGUCUUCUCAAUUUCAGGAUCAAACGAAAGUGUACCUGUACGAGAAGAACGAACCAUACACCAAGUAAAACGUAAAAAGGAUUAAAUAAAUGACACCAAUCCCCGGCAACGGCGCCAAAAUUUGAUGGGUGUCGAAGCCAACAAAAAUAAAUUCCUACUCUAAAUAAAUUGUGUAUAGUGAUUGAGCAGGGUCGUGUCCACAGAGAUCGGUAAUUAAUUAAAUCUUUUUGAAACGUAAAACGUAAAAUAGGGGAAUUGUUGACAAUAAUAAAAAUCAAAUUAAAAUAACAAGAAUGCAAAUUAAAGUUGUAAUUCAAAUUGGAGAAAGCUCUAGUUGAAGGAAUUAACUCAGCUUGAUUCGACUACUGAUCAUUGAUUCAAAUAUAGAUUAUUAUUACUCAUGAAUAGACCGGUUAUAGCUACUGAGACCCUCUAAUAGCCAAUCUCUCCUUAACUAGUCGAUAACCAAGGUACGACCGUUGGUUAUUUCCCUAAUCAAUAGACAACCCUAGAUACGAUCAUAGAAUUUAAUCAAUUGACAGCCUGAAAAACCAGAGAGACCCAAAUCCUAAUCAACACAUAUGAUGAUUCAUUUAAAUUAGAUUGUUUAUUCUCACAACACAACUCUCUGCUAUGUUAUUUGUCACAAACAUUAAAUUCUUCAUACGAUGAAUCCUUUAAUUGACAAUAGAUUAAGUUGAUAAUAAAAUAGUGGCCAAUUACCUAAUUAACAAACAUAAUCAUGAAAAUAAUUCAGAGAAUAAACAAAUACCCAAAAAGUAAUAAAACAAUUAAAGCACAAGAAAGAUCUCACAGUAGUGAUGAAUCAAAGCUUCAUUAACCUUCAACCAGAAAAAUGGGUUUAGUUCCUCAUAGAGAGAAGAGAAAAAUUAGAUCUAGGGUUUCUUUUUCUCCAAUCCAAAAUCCCCCUUUUUCACAAUAGAUUCCUCCCUUAAAUACUUUUUCUCUCUUCUCUUUUAGAAUUCUAUUUAAAAUAAAAUCCUAAUAUCUGAAAUAUUAAAUUCGUAAUUACAAAAAUAACCAAAAAUACAAAACACGUUAAACUAAAAACUGCAGGUCCGCAGUUGACAGCACGCGCCCACGCCUUAUCAACAAAGUUCUUCUGACGCUCAUAAUUUCUCCAAGAGAACAAUCAUCCUUAAACAUCAUCUUAUAGCUCAAUUUUAUCAUCAAUCAAUAGAAUUGCACCUACAAAAGUAAAACACAAGUAAAUCACUAUUAUUAAGUGCAAAACAUUGAUAUUAAGGGAAGUAAAUAAUGCAAACUAGUGCAUAAAUUGCACUCUAACAAAUUCCCCCACACCAAGAUGAUGCUUGUCCUCAAGCAUAUAACUCAAGACUAAUCUCAAAUCUCCACUAAAUUCUCAUCUCAACUCAUCCAAAAACAAUUUUAAGCAAGCAUACCUCAAGAAAUUAAGUCGAUCAACAUUCGAGAGACAAGGAUUUUUAAAGCAUAGAAUCUCAUAAGAUAGAAUAAGAACAUUCAACCACCAAGAAGAUCCAUUCAAAAUUCAAGUGCAACAAGAUUUAAUAACCCUCUCAAUGACUUCACUCCAUGCACUCAAAGUGUUUAGGGUAUCAUUUAUGCACUCAAAUCAAAUCAAAGAAUGCUAUUACCAUAAGCUUGCUCAUAUAUCACAUCUCAAUCCACAAAACAUGAAUAAAAUGCAAAAAUCUAAGGGUCUUAAAAGGGUUGUAAUGGGGUUAAAUAGGUUAAAUGAAAAAGAAAGGUCUAUGAAAGAAAAAGAGAUCAAAAUGAGAAGAAUGAACUCAUUGAAUGAACUUAUGAUAUCAAAAUGCUUAUUUCUACUCAAGUCACCACGAAUGUAAACAUUUUUUUUUCUUCUUUUUCUCUUUUUUUUUGAUUUUUUUUUUUCGAUUUUUCUUUUUCUAUUUUUUUUUCUCUUUUUCCUUUUUUUUUUUGAAUCAAACAAAAGAAAUGAACCUUGCACAAUUUAAUUCAAGCAUAAUGCUUGUUGAUCUAAUUGAGAAACUUUAAUACAAGGUAGAAAGAGCAACAAAAUAUAUACAAAAUAUAUCCACACAAUGAGUCCAAAAAUCUCCUUAAAUUGAGGCUCAAAAAGAAGAAAAAUGGUUAAGUAGACGGAGAGAAUUAGAUGGGUAAUGGUUAAGGCUCAAACAAAGAUAGUAAAUCAAGGUCUUCGGGUAGAGAAAAAAAAAGAAAAUGCAAGAAUAGAAAAAUGGUAAAUGGUUUGCCCUUAUCAUUUUAAUGCAAAAAAUCCCGUAAUGUGGCUUCAACAUGUAUAACAAAGCAAGUUCUAGAAUAAACAAACUAAGAUUGAUAUUCACAUAAUAAAAAUAAUUAGAGCAAAGUGGUUGCUCAUAGGCUCAAAUCCUCACAAAGUUGGUAAAUUUGCCAUCAAAUCAUGUACACUCUUCAAAUGAAUCAACCAUCAAUAGUGGUGUAGAAUGGGAAGAAGGUAUGAGUGAAGGAAAGGUAAAAAUGAUAAGAAGUGAGAAAGAUGUAUGUAGUAAUAUGAAAAGUGAAAGAUAAAAUGUGAGUGAUGAGAGAGUAUGAUAGAAUAAAAAUAGAUGUAAAUAAUUUGAGAUAGAUGGGAAAAAAGUAAUGAGAAAGAAAAGAAAAGAAAAAUAAUAAUAUAUGAAGCAUACUAACUCCAAAAUCAUUUAAGGAUGAGUAGAAUGAAAAUAGAUGAGUAGAGUGAAAAUAAUAAUUCCAGGCAUCAAUAAUGCAAAAAUCCCUCCCCCACACCAAUAACUUACAUUGUCCCCAAUGUAAGAUAAUCAAAGCUCACAUAAAAAUUAAAGCGUAAGGAUAAAAGAUUAAAGGCAAAAACUUCCCUGAAUUGUGAGCUUUGAUCCUCAUAACGUCUAUGGGCUUGGCGGGAAUGGUGGGAUAAAUCCCACACUCUUGAAGUAUGCGGCCAAAUUCUGCUCCAUCUUGUCACGGAUUUCGAUUCACGCGGCUGGAAUGCAGGUCGUAGGCUGGUUGCGGACUAUUGCUGCUCGACUAGAGCUUGCGGGUACACGGCUGGUGGUUCAGUUGCGCGCGGAUGGGACUGAUGCUGCGAACUGGUGACGCUGGAUCUGCGUGCUGCGGCUGUUGCUGCGCGCUGGGGGAUUGCUGGUGCGCGCGCUGGUGACGCUUGUUGCGUUGCGUGCUCGGCUGGAGCUUGCUGCGCGGCUUAGGGCUGGUUGCGCACUGCUGGUUGCGUGCAGGAUGCUGUCUGCGUGGCUGCGUUGCGCGCGAGAGCUGCUGCGUGGCUGUGUUGCUGCGGGACUGUUGCGCGCGAGAGCUGGUUCUGAGUUGCGUUGCGGGGCGUGCUCGUUGCUGGUGCUUGCGUUGCGCGCGACUGAUGCUGCAUUCUCCGGCUGGCUGGUUUGCUGCUGGCGUGCUGCAAACGGCUGGAGAAGAAAACAAUUUCUGGAAAAUUAGGGAUUUUGUGAACAGUAAAUUUUUUUUUU